AACAACGCUGGCGGCGUGCCUAACACAUGCAAGUCGUACGAGAAAGUCGGCUUCGGCCGAUGAGUACAGUGGCGCACGGGUGAGUAGCGCGUGGGUAAUCUGCCCCCCGGUCAGGAAUAACCCGCCGAAAGGCGGGCUAAUACCCGAUAACACUGACGCUCCGCGGAGCGUCUUUCAAAGAAGGCCUCUGUUUACAAGCUUUCGCCGGAGGAUGAGCCCGCGUACCAUUAGCUAGUUGGCAGGGUAAUGGCCUACCAAGGCUACGAUGGUUAGCUGGUCUGAGAGGAUGGCCAGCCACACUGGAACUGAGACACGGUCCAGACCCCUACGGGAGGCAGCAGUGAGGAAUAUUGCGCAAUGGGGGCAACCCUGACGCAGCAACGCCGCGUGAGUGAGGAAGGUUUUCGGACCGUAAAGCUCUGUCGAGCGGGAAGAAAUGUAUCAUGGCUAAUAUCCAUGAUACUUGACGGUACCGCUAAAGGAAGCACCGGCUAACUCCGUG
rnacentral:rRNA from 1 species